rnacentral:rRNA from 1 species
GACGAACGCUGGCGGCGUGCUUAACACAUGCAAGUCGAACGGGCCCGCCCCUGUUUUUGGGGGUGGGUUGAGUGGCGAACGGGUGAGUAUCACGUGAGUAACCUGCCCCCUGCUCCUGGAUAACUGCUUGAAAGGGCGGCUAAUACGGGGUGUGCCGGCUGGUCCGCAUGGGCCUGGUCGGGAUAGUUUCAUCUUCGGGUGUUUCGGUGGGGGAUGGGCUCGCGGCCUAUCAGCUUGUUGGUGGGGUGAUGGCCCACCAAGGCGGUGACGGGUGGCCGGCCUGAGAGGGUGGGCGGCCACACUGGGACUGAGACACGGCCCAGACUCCUGCGGGAGGCAGCAGUGGGGGGUAUUGCACAAUGGGCGGAAGCCUGAUGCAGCGACGUCGCGUGAGGGAUGGAGGCCUUCGGGUGGUGAACCUCUUUCUCCGGUGGUGAAGGCCCUGUCCGUUGCGGCGGGGUUGACGGUAGCCGGGGAUGAAGCGCCGGCUAACUACGUG